GAUGAAGAAUGUAGCGAAAUGCGAUAAGUAAUGUGAAUUGCAGAAUUCAGUGAAUCAUCGAAUCUUUGAACGCACAUUGCGCCCGCCAGUAUUCUGGCGGGCAUGCCUGUUCGAGCGUCAUUUCAACCAUCAAGCCCCCGGCUUGUGUUGGGGACCUGCGGCUGCCGCAGGCCCUGAAAACCAGUGGCGGGCUCACUAGUCACUCCGAGCGUAGUAAUACAUCUCGCUCAGGGCGUGCUGCGGGUUCCGGCCGUUAAAAAGCCUUAUUUACCCAAGGUUGACCUCGGAUCAGGUAGGAAGACCCGCUGAACUUAAGCAUAUCAAUAAGCGGAGG
rnacentral:misc_RNA from 1 species